UACGGGGGGAGCAAGCGUUGUUCGGAUUUAUUGGGCGUAAAGGGCGCGUAGGCGGCGCAACAAGUCACUUGUGAAAUCUCCGGGCUUAACCCGGAGCGGCCAAGUGAUACUGUCGUGCUAGAGUGCGGAAGGGGCUACUGGAAUUCUCGGUGUAGCGGUGAAAUGCGUAGAUAUCGAGAGGAACACCUGCGGCGAAGGCGGGUAGCUGGGCCGACACUGACGCUGAGGCGCGAAAGCCAGGGGAGCGAACGGG
rnacentral:rRNA from 1 species